CAGGUUGACUGCACAUGACUCUGUUAACAUAUGUAAGUGAGGCAAUAUUUAAACAAUUUAAUUAAAUGUUAACAAGGACAUAUGCAUAAAUAAAUUAAGUGUGUAACUCACUUGUUAACCUCACACUUUAAAUUCUCAAUAAGGUACACUGUCACUUUCCUCAUUCCAGUGUUAAAUUGAUCUAUACAUUGUUUUACACUGUAGGCAAUGUGAGUAACAAUUGCUGAUUAUUAUGUAACACACAAACACGUGGUCACUCACACAUACAUAUACAAAUGAGCGUAUUAAUAUACUUAACAGAUAACAGAUCUUAAUGUAAAAUUGUAAGUAAAAUUCAGACUAUAAUAAAACACAAUUUAAUAGUUAUUUUAAGAACUCAGAUUUUUCAAACUUUUUUUUAAAUUGAAUGAUUUUUUUAUUUGCAAAUUGUCCCUCGUUAUGUAUAUUUCUCUAUAUAUUUCAUAUUUAUUACAGACCUAAAAUGGCUGCUUAUUUGGUUGAAGAUUUCAGUCCAGUCAAGUACAAAUAGUUAACUUUCUACAUCCAUGUUUUUCAGCAAAUGUUUAACAUUCUACCUUCAUGUCUUUCAGCUGUGCUACAUUCUAGCACUGGAGGAAAAUCCAGCUCAGGAGGGAAGUCCCAUGGUACAAGUGAUCAUAAGGGAGGAUUUAGUGCAAGCAGUGGGAGAAGCUUUAGCCACCUCUCCAAAAGCAAACAUAGCUCUGGCCACGGACACCACUGCUAAAGUAAAAGCUAGCCAGUAUAGAUUGUAGUGAAAGUAUAGAUUGUAGUGAAAUCACUGGCAUUAUAUAUUAUCAAUCUGCUAUAUUGAUCUGUUUGGUAUUCACUAUGCAUAGAUCAUUCUCAUUUGCAAACUCAAAAUAUUUCUAUUCCCCAUCUUCUCUUAGGAUAAUCCUCACUCAUAUGUUGUAAAUAUAAGCUUUACUACAAACCUGUA